UACGGAGGAUCCGAGCGUUAUCCGGAUUUAUUGGGUUUAAAGGGAGCGUAGGCGGGAGAUCAAGUCAGCUGUGAAAUGUAGACGCUCAACGUCUGCACUGCAGUUGAAACUGGUCUUCUUGAGUGGGUAAGGGGCAGGCGGAAUUCGUCGUGUAGCGGUGAAAUGCUUAGAUAUGACGAAGAACUCCGAUCGCGAAAGCAGCUUGCCGGGGCUACUGACGCUGAAGCUCGAAGGUGCGGGUAUCGAACAG
rnacentral:rRNA from 1 species